AUAAUUUAUUAACAAAUAUUGUGAUAGUUUCAGGUGAAGAGUGAAGUGGCUCAGUCAUACAUAUGGCUGAGUUUCAAGCAUGUUCUUGACAGGAGAGAAUUUCCAAUUUGAUUAGAUAUCAUGAGAAAUAAAUAUUCCACUUAAGAUUUUAAAUGUCUUGCUGAUUGGAGAAUUUUCCAUCAACUAAUUUUUGGUUUCACAUGUUUCAAAAAUCUUUUCUCCUCCAUUGUUGGUACACUGUGAUGCUAAGUGCCAUAGGAAACAUUCAUAUACUGAUACAACUCCUGGGCCCCAUCCUUUAAAAAAAUUUUUUUUUAAAGUAUAGCUGAUUUACAAUGUUAGGUGUACAGCAAAGUGAUUCAGUUAUACGUACACAUAUCUAUUAUACCUAUAUACCUAUAUUCUUUUUCUCAUGAAAAUUAGUGAUCAUUUUUAUUUCUCUUAAUAGUUAACUUUGUCCAAGAAGAAUUUUCCUUUUAUGUUUCCUUCAGAAAAGCAAUAACAAUAAUAUCAGAAUAAUCACCAUGCAAUAAGAGUUGAAUGUGUGAGACAGACUUUAUAUAUUACUGCAUUCAAUUCUCAACUUCUGUUGAGGCAGAUGGUAUCAUAACUUUCUUACCAAACUCAACAGCAACUACUUGCUCAAGACCACAAACUUGUCUGUGGUUCCAAACUCUAUACGACAGCUCCCUGGGUCACCCCAAGAAAUUCACAGAGACGUCAAGGAAUGAUGCAAAUUUCUGAGGAAAACAGCGACACUCAACAUCUACUAAAUAGCACAUGAACCAAUGGCUCAAGGGAGUUCACGGCUUCAAAAUGAGAUCACAUUACAUUUCUUUUGAUGACGUAUCUGUGCAAAGCUCUUUUUAAGAGAUUGUUGAGCUAAAAGGAAUUUUAUCUGAUUCUAAGAUUUCAGAAGCUGUGUAGGGCCCAACAAGUAGGCACACACAUCCUAUCAGUAAGUAGCUGUGACUGUUUAAGAAGGAAAUAGUUAUUAUUUCUCCUCUCAAAUUAUGGUUUUUUCCCCCUAAACAUCUAAUGAAUUGUUAGGACAUAAGGACUUACUCAGUUGUUUGGACCUACCUACUUAAUAAAUAGAAUUUAAUAAGGUAUUUUUCUGGGCUCAGGCAUGUCAGGAAGAAGUUACUGAGACACUAACAAGCUCCAUGAACAGAUACUUGGGAACCUCUAUUCUGGGCAACAAGCUAAAGUACUUUAGGUGUUUCCUUUUUUAAUUUAACCCAUUAUUUACUUUAUUUUGAAUACAUUUAGAAAAUAUGGUUUUACAUCAGUGGCCAACUGGAUUUGCUAAUUCAUGAGACCCGAGUUACACAGAUAUAUUGACUUGAUCACAGGAUACAGCUAGGCUACUCUUGGUCCCCACCAGGGGCAGACCUAUUACCAUAAGACAUAGAACAGAUGAGGACAUAUGUAUAUUUCAGAUAGGUUGUCUCACAAAAAAGCAGGCAAGAGAAAAAAAAGAGUCUGAAAGUGAGAAAGUUCAGUUUCGUCAAAUAAGUCAUUUGAUCCCCUGCUUAGGGAGGAGAGGAAGGAGGUAGGAAGAAAAAUCAGAAAUAGUCCUGGUGGCACUCUCUCCCUGUGGAAACCUGAAUCAAGGGAAAUGGAAGUUCUUCCUGCCUACCGGGAAGGAAGGAGGGUUCACACAUUGUAAAAUGUGUGAUCGGGAGGCUGGACAUUGUAAAACAAAUACAUCUCUGUUGUAAGACACAGAGCUAGUUGCAAAUAAAUUGUCAUUUCUU